rnacentral:ncRNA from 1 species
CUUAAAGCUAUGAUGGAGAAAUAGUAAAAGAUUAUAUCUUUACAGAGAGGGAACGAUAGGUGGAAGUUUCUAAGAAAAAGUCUUUGAACCAAUCUUCUAGCAUAAAGGCGUUAAAAAGCUUUUACGGUAAGGACCGUUAUAUCCUAUAAAGAGAGCAUUAAGCUAAUUAGAGUGGUACCGCGGAAAUUCAACCUUUCGUCUCUAUA